UGAGAAGCGUAGCCACACACCGUUGGAAACGCUUCAUAGAGUAACUGUGUGGUUUGGCUUUCUUCACAGGACUAUUUGUUAGAUCUGUGUGAAGGAACUACAAGACAGUU
ensembl:snoRNA